rnacentral:rRNA from 1 species
AUUGAACGCUGGCGGCAUGCCUUACACAUGCAAGUCGAGCGGUAACGGGCCUUCGGGUGCCGACGAGUGGCGAACGGGUGAGUAAUGUAUCGGAACGUACCUUUCAGUGGGGGAUAACGUAGCGAAAGUUACGCUAAUACCGCAUAUUCUGUGAGCAGGAAAGCAGGGGAUCGCAAGACCUUGCGCUGAUUGAGCGGCCGAUAUCAGAUUAGCUAGUUGGUGAGGUAAAGGCUCACCAAGGCGACGAUCUGUAGCGGGUCUGAGAGGAUGAUCCGCCACACUGGAACUGAGACACGGUCCAGACUCCUACGGGAGGCAGCAGUGGGGAAUUUUGGACAAUGGGGGCAACCCUGAUCCAGCCAUGCCGCGUGAGUGAAGAAGGCCUUCGGGUUGUAAAGCUCUCUCGGCCGGGAAGAAAUCGUAUCAGCUAAUACCUGGUGCGGAUGACGGUACCGGCAUAAGAAGCACCGGCUAACUACGUGCCAGCCGCCGCAGUAAAAC